AAACCACUCAAGCUCUUUUGCUUGGUCAUGGUGGACGAGUGUUGCCUCUGGGCGUGCUCGCCGCCGAAAUUCAAUGGCGGAAAGCUUUGUGUUGCCUGAGCGUGAUAAGUUAACCCUUUCGCUUGGACAUCAAGGUGCUCCUGCCCUCAACCCCCAUUCUUCUUU
rnacentral:misc_RNA from 1 species